GAUAAAUAAAAUAAGAAAAGAAAAAUAAUAUAGGGAUUUUAUAUGAAACAUAAUAAAAUUGUAGGGUAAGAAAUAAGUAUCUCAAGGACUGAAUUGAAUAUCAAUAGAAAUCUUGUGGUCAAAAAUACAAAAGAAGAAAUAAUUGAGGAGUUAAAAAAAAUAUAAAAUAAUAAAUAAAAUAAGACUAAGAAAUGUUGUCGGCAACCCUAGAGACAAAAGAAAAAAAAAAUAAAACAAAGAAAAAAAAGAAGAAGAAGUUCGUGAGAGAGUGAGGAACCAUGAGAGAGAAAGGGAGUUUGUGAAGAGAGAAUGUGAUUUUUGAAGGAGAUAAAGGAGAAAGAAGAUUGAAUCAAGAGUUUGGAACUUCCAUAGGCUUGAAUUCCAAGAUUUCUUCAAGAUUGAGAUUUGAGCUUGGUUCGAGAUUGGGAGUUGGCCAAGAAGUGAUUGAGUAAGGAUUUGACAAAUUGGUUAAGGUUGGUUGAAUUUGGAGACGUGAUAACAAGGAUUUGGGUGACUUGCUCAAACGAGGU